rfam:Triticum urartu cultivar G1812 contig935827, whole genome shotgun sequence.
AAAGUACUCCCUCCGUCCCAAAAUUCUUGUCUUAGAUUUGUCUAGAUACGGAUGUAUCAAGUCACAUUUUAGUAUUAGAUACAUCCGUAUCUAAACAGAUUUAAGACAAGAAAUUUGGGACAGAGGGAGUAGUUG